CCUGACAGGCUGUACAGUCCGUGGGGUCGCAAAGAGUCAGACACGACUAAGUGACUAAGCACAGCACCAACGCAGGGUUGUUUUAUCCAAAGGUCAUUGUAAUUGUCUUUCCCCACUCUUAUGGUGGAGCUGAGGACCUAGUGAAUCAUACCUAGAAAAGAGGCAUCCAUUUCUGGUAAAUCACACUGCCCUUAGACUCAGCUUUAUCUCUUUGCUACAAACAAAAGAAGAGAGCUGAAUUCUUUUCUAACACAGAGCACAUCGUCUAGAUUCCAGUAAGAAAAGUCUUUAAGAUUCUCAAGUCCUUAAAAAGCAUCUGGGGGAAGCAUAAAUGACAAGGAGAAAAAGCACCGGUUUGAAAGCUGGUCAGCCACUUUUCUGCCAAGGGCUUGUCAAAAUUGCUCAAGAGAAAGAAAAAAGAGAAACAAGUGCACAUAUACAUUUUUUAAGUAGCCAGCAACCAAGACAACACCAAUUAUUCAACCACAGUAAAGAAACCAGCAGCCAAACCACACUGAUUAUUUAACCGCGUAUCCAAGUGCUGAACACAGCCAUAGCCAGCCACGUUAAUUUAAUGUAAAUAUCCUGAGUAACCAGCCCCUGUUGAGGCAAGUGUUGCAGCAAAGGACAGGGCCUCACCUUUCCUUGUCUUGGCACCAGAUGUUUGGAGCUGGAAAACUGGCUAUAAUCCAACUAAUAUCCCACCCCCUCUUUUUCUCCGUUUUGCAUUUUCGUUUCUCUAAAACCCUGAUUCAUUUUUUUUUCUUACUGAUUCACUGGGCUCAUACGCACACACAAACUCAGGGAAACAUUUCAUUUGGUGAAUUCUGUUCUUUUCCUCUUGAUUUGCACCUUUUCUUUCCUUUCUUUUUCAUUUCAGUUGUCUUUCUUCUUUUCAACCUCAAUGCUUUCAUCCCUAUGUAUUUGAUUCCUGUUUAUUUAAUUUUUACUUAUCAUCAUAUAUAAAGUUUAUUCUUGGUAAGUGUUUAUAAGGAAAAUAUAAACUUUCUUCUUUGCAACUUGCAACUGCAGAAAUUUCCACUACGUUGAAUUUUACUGUAAAAUAGUUCCUUUCACUGGGAAAUACCCAGACUUGUGAGCCCGGAUGUCCAAGUUUAAAAACAUAGUCCUAUUCUCACUGGCUACAAAUAUAAACAUCUGACUCAAGGUCAGCCAGCCCAUUGGUGUCUAUCUUCUGCCUUGCUCACUGGUGUCCAGAGCUGCCAAGUGAGAAGAUCAAGUCUGCUGUGCUGGAAGGACUCUCAGGCCCCAAGGAGACAUUACACGAGGGCUGUUGACUUUAUGGAUCGGAAUCACCAUCAUGAGUGUGGGAAGUGUGACCUCAAGUUUCAGGCAAAUGAAUUCAAUAUAUACCUUUCCCCAGGGUGAGAGGCUCACAAAGCAGAAGGAAUGUCAUUUUUCAGUCAACAGAAAUAGAGCUUUUUGUCUGCAAUAGUCACUUGAAACAGGAAGUACUCUUCAGAGGUUGUUGCUCUUGACCAAGACUAUGGAUGAAGUGGAUACAAGGCUGAGCACUUCCUUUGGGAAGAAACAACAUGGGGAGUGGCUUUCCUGCUCUUUGGAGGUUUCCAUCUGCAGGCAUGAAGGCACCGUUUGCCUAUUUUGGUAUAGCCUGCCUCCUGACUUCCUAACCAUUAUCUACCCAGGUGUCUAUAUUCUCUGCCAAGAAGUUCCUACCAUUUGAUCCUCUAUCUGUGGAGUGAAUAUCGAAGAGGUACAAAAAGACAGCUAUUCACAUAGGAGGGGCUUUCAGAAGACUCCUAGCUUGUGUGAAUACAGAACUGUAGAGACAACAGUCAAGACAAGGGUAAAAUGAGCUGGCGAAAGCCUAAAGGCAAUGGGCUGCUGCUGCUGCUGCUGUUGCUGCUGCUAAGUUGCUUCAGUCGUGUCCGACUCUGUGGAACUUCCCAGCCAAGAGUAUUGGAGUGGGUUGCCAUUGCCUUCUCCGAAAGGCAAUGGACUAGAUAACAUGAAUUAGGAGUUAAAGCCUCAGAGAUCCAAAUGGCUUUCCCAGUGAAAAAUUCAUUUAUCUUGACCUAAGACAGGAAAUGAAGAGGAGAAAGAAGCCACCAAGCAGAAGAAAGCUUAAACAUUUGAAGAGAGAAAGUCUCCAGAUGCCUAUGGUGGAGACAUUUUGGGAAAAGUUCCAGAAGUUUGAUGGAGCUAGUGUGUAUCAGUGGAAUUGUGCCCUUCCUGCAGAGCCCUCUGGAGGACCAAUAAACCCCACUGCAGGUCACCAUGCUGGUUGGAUUCUCAUGAAGACAGAAAGGGAAUGGUUAGAGCCACGGAGGAGGAGUGAUGCCUCCAGGAAUAAUUUUCAAGAACAUUUUAUGAUAAUGGGAUGAACAUAUUCAGUGGUGGCCAAAGAUAGAGAGCAAUUAACACUGAGAAGAAAGAUUCAUAAAUUUAGAGUAGAAAAUUUUGAUUUGGAAUUCCCAACUUUGCUCCCAACUAUUUUAAAAGGUCCCUCCUGAUGCUGUCUAUCCGUAUUGUGAAAACUCAAGUUUUCUGCAAAGUUACUAAUGGCUCAUAUACCACGGUGCUAUGCUCUUUAACUCCCAGGAUAAUUAUUCCUCUCAAUGCAAGGAAAUCACUGAUGGAAAUACAGUUAACUUUAUUGGACAGCAAAUUUGCAUUUAUUCCUUCUGGGGGAAUUAGUCUGAGGCAGUAUAACUUGAAGGAUCUCUAUAAAGAGUAAAUAUAGAUUGAGACUUGGCUCUUUUUUUCCUCAAUAAUCUAGAUGAUGGGCUAUAUGUGUCCUGCAAAUGUCCUUUCUCUUCCUAGAACCUAUGAAAUCACUCUCCCUACCUCAGGCCAUCUGGUGUUUGCAUUACACUUUCAUGUGGUUUUUCACUCACAAGACCAAGUCUUCACCCACCCUCUCUCAUGUCAGGAAUUUGAUCCCAGCAAUGCUUUGUCCAGCACUUCCGCUCCUUCUUUCACAUGUUUCUUGAAGCACCAUGAUUUCCCUGAAUAAUAAAAGCUUUUUUUCUCCUUAUUGUUUUCCUGCUAUAGAACCUCCAGAUAUGAAAUCAAAUGUUGUACAUAAACUGUGUUCAUACUUUACUUGUGUAUUUAUUAUUUAUUCAUGGGUAUUGGUUGUUUGCAUGCAUGGCUUAGAUGUUCUCUGUAGAAAUAUUCUCUUUUUUGUGUGUCAAUAAUGCCCAUGUUCAGUUGUAACCUAUUUAA